AUUGAACGCUGGCGGCAUGCCUUACACAUGCAAGUCGAACGGCAGCACGGGAGCAAUCCUGGUGGCGAGUGGCGAACGGGUGAGUAAUGUAUCGGAACGUACCUUUCAGUGGGGGAUAACGUAGCGAAAGUUACGCUAAUACCGCAUAUUCUGUGAGCAGGAAAGCAGGGGAUCGCAAGACCUUGCGCUGAUUGAGCGGCCGAUAUCAGAUUAGCUAGUUGGUGAGGUAAAGGCUCACCAAGGCGACGAUCUGUAGCGGGUCUGAGAGGAUGAUCCGCCACACUGGAACUGAGACACGGUCCAGACUCCUACGGGAGGCAGCAGUGGGGAAUUUUGGACAAUGGGCGCAAGCCUGAUCCAGCCAUGCCGCGUGAGUGAAGAAGGCCGUCGGUU
rnacentral:rRNA from 1 species